CCUACGGGUGGCUGCAGUGGGGAAUAUUGGACAAUGGGCGAAAGCCUGAUCCAGCCAUGCCGCGUGUGUGAAGAAGGCCUUCGGGUUGUAAAGCACUUUCAGUGGGGAAGAAAGCCUUGGGGCUAAUACCCUCGAGGAAGGACAUCACCCACAGAAGAAGCACCGGCCACACUCCGUGCCAGCAGCCGCGGUAAUACGGAGGGUGCGAGCGUUAAUCGGAAUUACUGGGCGUAAAGCGCGCGUAGGCGGUCUGAUAAGCCGGUUGUGAAAGCCCCGGGCUCAACCUGGGAACGGCAUCCGGAACUGUCAGGCUAGAGUGCAGGAGAGGAAGGUAGAAUUCCCGGUGUAGCGGUGAAAUGCGUAGAGAUCGGGAGGAAUACCAGUGGCGAAGGCGGCCUUCUGGACUGACACUGACGCUGAGGUGCGAAAGCGUGGGUAGCAAACAGGAUUAGAUACCCCGGUAGUC
rnacentral:rRNA from 1 species